GAACGGUUCAAUAUCGAUACGAGUAUCGUUGCACCCCUAAUAUUUGCAUAUCAUCAGAUCCACCAACUGAGAGGAAGUUUCUCCUGGACCACUCAUAUGGGACUCCUGAAUGGCAGAUUGAUCAUCAGUAUGUCCAGGAGCAAAGUGGCAGAAAGACUUGGACCCUCUUCAGUCCAGUCUGCUCGAAUAUGUUUUGGACCAAAACCGACCUCGAGGAGAACUCCUAGUGAAGGAAGACAAUAUCUGCCUGACUCGGGAAGACUUUUGGAGCCUGGGUUUGGAACAAUCCAUGGAAUCUACUAUUGGGAAUGCUUGUCUGAAGAUUGUGGGCGAAGCUGCACAAAGACAUGGAAAAGAUGUUCACAUUGCUGACCUCUACGUCAGGGCCACCUGGAAGGAUCCACAAGUCAACCUGCUGCGUUGCUUGCCGGUAUGUUUUUUGUUCAUUUUUCUCCUGUGUGUGCAUUUUUACUAAUUUGUACCAAUACCUGUAGGAAAACUUUAGGUCCAAGGAUAUCCUGCUUUUUCCAGCUUGGAGCAGGCAGGCAGGUGAAGCUGACCAUUAUCUGCUCUGUGUGAGUGCCCUUUCUCUUUCUCGCGCUGUUUUUUCAUCUGAUAAUGGAUGCUAACAUGUCUAUUUCAGGCUAUAUUGGUAGCUGAGAGACAGAUACUCUUUCUGGACUCACUUCGCCCUGAUGGUUUUGGAGAUAAUCUCUACCGAGCCAUAUUUAGGUUGACACUAAAGAAAUGAAAAAUUGUUCUGGCCUUGUUCAAUGGCCAAGUGUGUUCUUUGGCUAGGUCGUCUAAAAGCAGCCUCGGUUUCAGGCUUAAAAGUUCAGGAGGGAACCUCGUUCUUAGGCUACUUCAUGAUAGGGAUGCACCGAUACUGGUAUCCAGGCCCAUACGCUUCAAAAGAAAUCGUAUCCAUAUCUUUUGUUAACCAAUACCAUGAACAGAUACUUGAAAUGUGAAAAUCGGUAAAAGUUUCACAGAAAAUGUUUAUUUUUCAUCCAAAUUUAGAAUUUUUGGGUCAUUUCUAUUAAUAUACAUAAAAAAAAAAUCUUAUUCACCGUUAUUAUUUGUAAAAAACACACAAAAAACCUGCCUUCCGAUUCACUACAUUUUCUGUGUGGUAGAAGUAUCAGCAUUGGUAUUUGGUAUCGGCAAAAACUCAGAUCCAAGGAUCUGACGGUCUGAAAAACGUAUUGUUGCAUCCCUACUUCAUGAAUUUUUUUAUU